UUUUUCUCAGCAACUACUAACUAACACAAACCAUAGAUACUUGUCCUUAAAGCUUUGAGACUGUCUACCUUCAGCACUUUUAAGUCUCUCAGACCUUUUGAGCUCAUUUCCAUGUAUGGGGUAAAGAGGGAGUCUAGCCAGACAGCUGAUCGUCCUAAAGCCGCUUGUGGGGAGAAUCUUAUUACCUCGUGCUGUUGUUGUGACAAAAUUUUCUUUAGUUUUGUUUGAAGGUUACAGUGGAUUGAAUUAUAAACAACGUCAUAGGGCAAGAUUUCAUUUUAUUAUGACAGUGUAAGUGAAGUGAAUUGUCUGAUACUGCCACCAGAUGGCAGUAGUGCCCCAUAUUUUGCCUAUUUCUUAUUUCCACUUCCCCAAAAGUGGGAAUAGGUUUUAACCAAAUACCAAAUAUCCUCCACAAAUCAUUCUUUGUCUUUCUUGCCCUCUUGAUGAACUUGACUUUGGCCACUCCAGUGCUGUGACUCUUGUUCCUCUAUUAUUGUUUUCUUGGCUAGCUUGAGCCUGAUUUUUCUGUUCCACGGUGAAGGGGUGAAAUUCGUAGGGAGAGGCCAUGCUUUGGGUUGCUGGGGAGGAUGUGAAAUAGAAUUCGAUUCAGACUCAGUGAUAAGAGGUUCAUGAUAUGAAAAUAUGGACAGUUUGAUCCAGCUGGUCUCACUAACAAGAGGCCUGGCAGGAAUGUGUGCUCACCGCAGGGCUGCAACAGCUUAAGCCACAGAUCCCGGUCUGGUCUCUAGCUCUUGGCUAGUUAACUAGGGCUCAGGGUCUAACAACUUGCCUUGUCCCUCAGUCACAUGUACUAGUUGGUAGGAUCUUUGUUGCUCCAAAUGCCAGUCUGACAGGAACUUGCGGAUCCUCAGCUCGUCAGCACUCUGGGAGCUAUUACCACCUGUCCAUCAGCGGCAUCAAGGAGCCAGGAGUGAUGACCUGGACAGUUCAGACUGUGGGAAGACGUCCGCGCUUUGAUGCACCUACUAAGCCUGGUCGCACACCAGCAGUUGCAAGGAAAUCACCAAUUAGAGAGGACCUCCACCCUCACUGGUAGAGAGAGAGAUCCCAGCUUGUCACUGGCUAUGCAGAGCCCUGAGCAAAGAUGGAGGUGUGUGGCCAGAGCAGGAAAGAGCAUCACAUCUAUCAUGGUGACAAGCCAGUCAUGUCUCUAUGUCCAUACUGCUGCUAGCUGGCUGUGCCACAGUCUCUCUUGGCCUCAAGGUCCUUGUCCAUCAAACAGGAAGAUGAGACAGAGGCUAUGAUUUGUGUCUCUAGAUAAUGAAAUCCCUGAGGUCUCUUUUAUUUCCAAGACCAUAAGUUUGGUAGUUAAAAUUAUUUAUUUAGGAGAAGGAAUAAUACCUUCAGCUAUUUGCCUGGAGUUCAUAAUUCCAGCACCUCAGAGAACAGAACUGAACUCGAUAUUCAAACUCAGCUUAGAAUCCUGACUGCUUGUAUGUUUGGUUUCUAAGGUGGGCCCCACAUACAAGGUCCUGGCCAUUCUAGGCCAUUACUGUAUGCCCCUCCAUUCGCAGCACUGUGGAUGACACUCAGGGUUGUUACAACAAAAUGUCAUAGCAUGUGAUGUGUGCCAUAUCUGUGAGAUCUCAUUAAAGCUUCACCAUAGUCCAAAAAGGAGAAAUUUGGGGCAUGGGGAGAUCAAGUUGGGCAGAUUGCCCUCUGGGUUACAUCUAGACAGUGAGGAGGAGGCGAUGGGAGCUUGUGUUCCAAGGCACUAUAUUGUCAGGCAUCUUGAAAGGUGUUCUAUGAUUUCCACCAGCUUUUCUAGAAAGGAUAAGGGUAUCAAGGUUAGGUUCUUUAGGGUAGGAGUCCAUUUUCUGUUUUUCUAGAGUCUUGGGGAGAAUGCAGAGUAGCCCUAAUGGUUUGGGGGAGGAUCAGAAGAAGCACAAAAGAAAAGGAAAGGCCUCUGCAC
ensembl:lncRNA